CUCUCUCGUUUGUAAAUCUUAAAAGUGUUAAUUACACGAAGUAAAGGUAUAAACCAGGAUUAGAGACCCUGCUAUUCUUUACUAGUUAACAGUUGGUUAGUACGAAUUAUGUUUGAAAACUAAAGAUUUUGGCAGUGGGUAAUGUCUAUUCAGAGGAGUUUGUUCAGUAAAAUCGAUAAUCCGCGAGGAUCUUACUCUAUUUUGUGUUCAACUUAUAUACCGCCGUCGUCAGCUAAUGCCAUAAGGGUGUAAGAAUUAGCUAAAAGAUGGAUAUCUAAACGUCAGGUCAGGGUGUAGUCAAUAGUAGAGGUUGGAAUGAAUUACAGUUAUUUAGCAAUACCGGAUAUUACUCAUGAAACUAGUAAUUGAAGUUGGAUUUGGUUGUAAAUUUGUAUUAUGAUGAUAUAUUGACUGUAGCGCUUAUCUAUGCACACACCGCCCGUCAUUUUCCUGAAAUCAUAAAGGAAAGAAGUCGUAACAAGGUAGGGCAUCCGGAAGGAUCCCCUGGGGAAUUA
rnacentral:ncRNA from 1 species